rnacentral:rRNA from 1 species
CUUGAGUGCAGAAGAGGAGAGUGGAAUUCCACGUGUAGCGGUGAAAUGCGUAGAGAUGUGGAGGAACACCAGUGGCGAAGGCGACUCUCUGGUCUGUAACUGACGCUGAGGUACGAAAGCGUGGGGAGCGAACAGGAUUAGAUACCCUGGUAGUCCACGCCGUAAACGAUGAGUGCUAAGUGUUAGAGGGUUUCCGCCCUUUAGUGCGCAGCAAACGCACUAAGCACUCCGC